ensembl:lncRNA
GUUCAGAUCAGUUGGCGUUGAAUGCUGGAGCUGUGCACAACGAAUCAUAAAAGGGCACAGUGUAUCCCAGACUUUAGCAGAACAAUGUUGGUUCGAGCUCUGACAAUCACGGCUUUUGCAUCAUUUUUUGUGACAUCCGUCAGUGGCAGCGCUGAUAAAGGGACUUAUGAGAUUCCUUUAUCCUGCUGUGGAGAGCCUAAAGUGGAGUUUGAAAAAGGCUGUGAUUUCCAUGCAUCUGUCAACGAACAGGCAUUCGCUUGGUUUGCAGUAGUUGAAGACGGGACAAAACUACAAUGCACAUCUCCGUGCAAGCAUCUGGAAGAUGGCCUAAUGAUUCUUGAUUCAUGCAGGAAUGUAAACGUCAGUGUGGUGUGCUCUAAUAACAAUGUGGUGACGAGUGAUGUGAUGCAGCAUUACAUCAAGAAGACGUGCAAUGUCACUGGAGCACUAAGUCCUGACGUGUUUGGGCUUCUGGUAUUGUUGGUGGUUCUAUGCUGUACGUGGCAGAUGAUCACCUGAGGCACCUACCUCGACCUGCUAAAUGAAGCCAUUUUUCAUGACACAUGAAAUUAAUAUAAUCGAGGUGAUGGUAAUGGGGAAUUUUUUAUGCACAUUAGCUUUCGUCUUAUUGUGAUCUCAACCCAAGUUUGAACAACAACUGAUUGGGUAUUGUAAAUGAAUUGUUACAAUGCUAUUUUUAUAGCAUUGUUAUAAACAUAUGCUAUUCUAGAUCAGGACUGGGCAACUUUUACCUCAAAAAAUGUGAUUCAAUUUGAUCAGAGGGCCACAAUAUCAACAUUCAUGUCAGCAUUUGAAUUAAUGACCAAUCUUAGCAUUAUUACAGGAAAGAACAAAGGCUUUUGUCUGUAUGUUGUCAUUUUGUAUAUAUUUUUAUUUUGUGUAUAUUUGUAGUCGUCUCUUGUGUUUUUGGAGUACAUUUCUGCAUUUUUCUUGUCCUUUUGUGCAAUUUUUUUUUUUUUUUUUUUGUGAUUUUGUGUAUUUCUCUGUCACUUUGUGUGUUUUUGGAGUCAUUUCCUCUGUGUGAAUGUUUGUAGCUGCACAAAAUGAGUUGCCCAUGUCUGUUCUAGAUCGAUCAAAGGUAGUCUGCCUUUACCAUUUACAAAACCUGAAUGUGUUUUGCUAGUGCUGUAGUUCUCCAGAAAAGAAGCCCCAAACAAACCACAUUUUAAACAAAAUUGUAACAAUAUUUGAAUUUGUGGGUCCACUCUAUGAUCAAACACUAUACAUUUACUUAAAUGCAAUAAGCUUCCGUAGAACGGACCUUCAGCAGUGACAUAUUAUUACACUGUGUAUUUUUUAACAUUUGUUUACGUGUUGGUGGUGCCAACUCUCAGUUUACAAAUUAAUUCUAAUUUUCUCCCUUUCACUUUUAUGACCCUUAACUAACAAAAUGGAAUAUCUAUAUUAUUUAUAAGGUAAUAUAGUACAAAAAUAAUUUAUUUACAUUCAUGUGUUUUUGUGUUGGAGAGAAUGUCAGGCAUUGCACGUUCAUGGGUUCUACUUGAAAAUAAAUUCACACAGGAUACUUCCA